UAGUUAAAACUUUUCCUCUUA
rnacentral:piRNA from 1 species